GAUGAACGCUGGCGGCGUGCCUAAUACAUGCAAGUCGAGCGAACAGAUGAGGAGCUUGCUCCUCUGACGUUAGCGGCGGACGGGUGAGUAACACGUGGAUAACCUACCUAUAAGACUGGGAUAACUUCGGGAAACCGGAGCUAAUACCGGAUAAUAUAUUGAACCGCAUGGUUCAAUAGUGAGAGACGGUUUUGCUGUCACUUAUAGAUGGAUCCGCGCCGCAUUAGCUAGUUGGUAAGGUAACGGCUUACCAAGGCAACGAUGCGUAGCCGACCUGAGAGGGUGAUCGGCCACACUGGAACUGAGACACGGUCCAGACUCCUACGGGAGGCAGCAGUAGGGAAUCUUCCGCAAAGGGCGAAAGCCUGACGGAGCAACGCCGCGUGAGUGAUGAAGGUCUUCGGAUCGUAAAACUCUGUUAUUAGGGAAGAACAAAUGUGUAAGUAACUAUGCACGUCUUGACGGUACCUAAUCAGAAAGCCACGGCUAACUACGUG
rnacentral:rRNA from 1 species